rnacentral:rRNA from 1 species
AACCAGCACCUCAAGUGGUCAGGAGGAUUAUUGGGCCUAAAGCAUCCGUAGCCUGCUUUGUUAGUUUUCGGUUAAAUCUAUGUGCUCAACGCAUAGGCUGCCGAAAAUACUGCAGAGCUAGGGAGUGGGAGAGGUAGACGGUACUCGAUAGGAAGGGGUAAAAUCCUUUGAUCUAUUGAUGACCACCUGUGGCGAAGGCGGUCUACCAGAACACGUUCGACGGUGAGGGAUGAAAGCUGGGGGAGCAAACCGG